CGGCGGAGCAUGCGAUUAAUUCGAUGCAACGCGAAGAACCUUACCAAGGCUUGACAUACACCGGUAACGCCCAGAGAUGGGUGCCCCUUUGUGGUCGGUGUACAGGUGGUGCAUGGUUGUCGUCAGCUCGUGUCGUGAGAUGUUGGGUUAAGUCCCGCAACGAGCGCAACCCUCGUCCUAUGUUGCCAGCGGGUCAUGCCGGGGACUCAUGGGAGACUGCCGGGGUCAACUCGGAGGAAGGUGGGGAUGACGUCAAAUCAUCAUGCCCCUUAUGUCUUGGGCUUCACGCAUGCUACAAUGGCCGGUACAAAGGGCUGCGAUACCGCGAGGUGGAGCGAAUCUCAGAAAGCCGGUCUCAGUUCGGAUUGGGGUCUGCAACUCGACCCCAUGAAGUCGGAGUCGCUAGUAAUCGCAGAUCAGCAACGCUGCGGUGAAUACGUUCCCGGGCCUU
rnacentral:rRNA from 1 species